rnacentral:rRNA from 1 species
GCCUGGCUAGCUGAUCGCAUGGUCUUCUGGGAAGCUUUCGCGGUAUGGGAUGGGGUCGCGUCCUAUCAGCUUGACGGCGGGGUAACGGCCCACCGUGGCUUCGACGGGUAGCCGGCCUGAGAGGGCGACCGGCCACAUUGGGACUGAGAUACGGCCCAGACUCCUACGGGAGGCAGCAGUGGGGAAUAUUGCACAAUGGGCGCAAGCCUGAUGCAGCGACGCCGCGUGAGGGAUGGAGGCCUUCGGGUUGUAAACCUCUUUUAUCGGGGAGCAAGCGAGAGUGAGUUUACCCGUUGAAUAAGCACCGGCUAACUACGUGCCAGCAGCCGCGGUAAUACGUAGGGUGCAAGCGUUAUCCGGAAUUAUUGGGCGUAAAGGGCUCGUAGGCGGUUCGUCGCGUCCGGUGUGAAAGUCCAUCGCUUAACGGUGGAUCCGCGCCGGGUACGGGCGGGCUUGAGUGCGGUAGGGGAGACUGGAAUUCCCGGUGUAACGGUGGAAUGUGUAGAUAUCGAAAAAAGAACACCA